AACGAACGCUGGCGGCAGGCCUAAAACAUGCAAGUCGAACGCCCCGCAAGGGGAGUGGCGCACGGGUGAGUAACGCGUGGGAACGUGCCCUUCAGUACGGGACAACGUCGGGAAACUGACGCUAAUACCGUAUAAUAUCUCCGGAUCAAAGAUUUAUCGCUGAGGGAGCGGCCCGCGUCUGAUUAGCUAGUUGGUGAGGUAAUGGCUCACCAAGGCUACGAUCAGUAGCAGGUCUGAGAGGAUGAUCUGCCACACUGGGACUGAGACACGGCCCAGACUCCUACGGGAGGCAGCAGUUAGGAAUAUUGGACAAUGGGGGAAACCCUGAUCCAGCCAUGCCGCGUGUGUGAUGAAGGCCCUAGGGUUGUAAAGCACUUUCGUUGGGGAUGAUAAUGACCGUACCCAAAGAAGAGGCCACGGCUAAAUUCGUGCCAGCCGCCGCAGUAA
rnacentral:rRNA from 1 species